GACGAACGCUGGCGGCGUACUUAACACAUGCAAGUCGAGCGAUGAAGCACCUUCGGGUGUGGAUUAGCGGCGAACGGGUGAGGAACACGUGAGGAAUCUGCCUUCCACUCUGGGAUAACUCCGGGAAACCGGGGCUAAUACCGGAUACUUUCAACUGGCGGCAUCGCCGGUUGAAGAGAGUUUUUGGGUGGAAGAUGACCCGCCGGCCUAUCAGCUUGUUGGUGGGGAAAUGGCUCACCAAGGCGACGACGGGUAGCCGGCCUGAGAGGGCGACCGGCCACACUGGGACUGAGACACGGCCCAGACUCCUACGGGAGGCAGCAGUGGGGAAUAUUGGGCAAUGGAGGAAACUCUGACCCAGCGACGCCGCGUGAGGGAUGAAGGCCUUCGGGUUGUAAACCUCUUUCAGCAGGGAAUAAGCGAAAGUGAAGGUACCUGCAGAAGAAGCACCGGCUAACUAUGUGCCAGCCGCCGCCGUAA
rnacentral:rRNA from 1 species